GCAGGUUCAGACAUUUCGUGUAUGUGCUUGGCUGAGGAGCCAAUGGGGCGAAGCUACCAUCUGUGGGAUUAUGUCUGAGCGCCUCUAAGUCAGAAUCCCGCCCAGGCGGAACGAUACAGCAGCGCCGCGGAAGCCUCGGUUGGCCUCGGAUAGCCGGUCCCGCAGAUCGGAAGAGCACA